GACGAACGCUGGCGGCGUGCCUAAUACAUGCAAGUCGAACGCAGUGGGGACGGGUGAGUAACACGUGGGUAACCUCCCAUCAGAGGGGAAAACACUUGGAAACAGGUGCUAAACCGAUACUGAUGGAUGGAACCGCGGUGCAUUAGCUAGUUGGUGAGGUAACGGCUCACCAAGGCCACGAUGCAUAGCCGACCUGCUAGUGUGAUCGGCCACACUUGGACUGAGCCACGGCCCAGACUCCUACGGGAGGCAGCAGUAGGGAAUCUUCGGCAAUGUACGAAAGUCUUACCGAGCAAUGACGCGUGAGUUAAGAAUGUUUUCGGAUCGUAAAACUCUGUUGUUAGAGAAGCGGUAUCUAACCAGAAAGCCACGGCUAACUACGUGCCAGCAGCCGCGGUAAUUC
rnacentral:rRNA from 1 species